CUGCGCCACGAACACUUCAGCAGAUCACUAAAAUUCUGCAGCACAUGACAGCACAAGGAACAAGGAAGUGGCUGCACUUUCACCAAAAAAUGAAGACCGCACUGCUCAGUCUUUGUCUGGUCAGCACAAUAUCUGCUGCACCAUUGUCUGUCUUUAAUUACCUGCCGCACUAUGGCCCGGGGCCGUCGGGUCCAUCCACACAGGUUUAUUCCCCUGGAUCAUCUGGCAACACAGUUGGUGGCAAACCGGCCAGAUCAAACGGUUUUAUGAAGUAUUCUCUCCCCAAAGCUCCAGGACAGAGCAGUGUGGAAAUGUACAUCCCAAUUGAUAUCGACCAGAUGAUGCCAAAUUUCCCGCAUUUGCCUCCCAACACAAAUGUGAGCAUUUUUGUUAGCACUAUGACCUUUUGUAUAUACUUUGAUAAUUUGAUUUGCUUGUAUGAAUUCCUGUCCUGUCAUUUGCAUUUCCAGCUACUGAACAUUCCUCAGCCCCCACACCAGCAACCCCCUCAGAAACAGAUGCCUACAUUCCAAGCUCAGGCUCCACCGGCCCAGGAUCCUUUGAGACAAGAGCUGCAGAAAGGUUUUAUGAAAUAUUCUCUCCCCAAGGCUCCAGGACAGAGCAGUGUGGAAAUGUACAUCCCAAUUGAUAUCGACCAGAUGAUGCCAAAUUUCCCACAUUUACCUCCCAACACAAACCCACUGAACAUUCCUCAACCCCCACACCAGCAACCCCCUCAGCAACAGAUACCUACAUUCCAAGCUCAGGCUCCACAGGCCCAGGAACCUUUGCAACAAGAGCAGCAGGUAAAGGCCAGUCAGAAGAUGCAGCUGUAAUGAGGAAUAGCCAGAUUAUGACCGGCGUGCCACUCACUUACCUGCAGGAAUAUUUCCUGUAUGUUCUGGACCAGCCACUGAUUUUAAAUGUUCUGUAAGCAUCUAGUUUUUCACAUUAGAAAUGUGAUUAGCACCUAAACAAUGAACUGCAUCACAAAAGCAAGUGGAAGUUUUUGGAUAGUUCUGACCACAUUGGUAAAAUAAUUUUUUUCCACAAAUAUGACUUGCUUGUUUAAAUUACAGUAUAAUUUACGGAUGACAAAAAGCAAAAAAGCAUGCAUUCCAUGUGAUUGCAGCGUUCCAUGUUUUGUGUUAUGUUAGUGAAGUAGUGUAGAUGUGUAUUGUAAUGUUGAAAUUAACUUAAUAAAGCAACAAAGGC
rnacentral:lncRNA from 1 species